rnacentral:rRNA from 1 species
CCUACGGGAGGCAGCAGUGGGGAAUAUUGGACAAUGGGGGCAACCCUGAUCCAGCCAUGCCGCGUGGGUGAUGAAGGCCUUAGGGUUGUAAAGCCCUUUCGGCGGGGAAGAUAAUGACGGUACCCGCAGAAGAAGCCCCGGCUAACUUCGUGCCAGCAGCCGCGGUAAUACGAAGGGGGCUAGCGUUGCUCGGAAUCACUGGGCGUAAAGCGCACGUAGGCGGAUCGUUAAGUCAGGGGUGAAAUCCUGGAGCUCAACUCCAGAACUGCCUUUGAUACUGGCGAUCUUGAGUUCGGGAGAGGUGAGUGGAACUGCGAGUGUAGAGGUGAAAUUCGUAGAUAUUCGCAAGAACACCAGUGGCGAAGGCGGCUCACUGGCCCGAAACUGACGCUGAGGUGCGAAAGCGUGGGGAGCAAACAGGAUUAGAUACCCCAGUAGUC